AGAAAUACCCUUGCUACUUUGCAACAUGAUUACAAGAUUCAUUUCCAGUAUGGUGGAAAAGUGUGAUUGAUCAUCAUAACUACUUUUGUUGGCAAAGUCUCUUUGUGGAGUUUCCUCGUAUCACUACAUUGCUCACAGGGUUGAAGGCUCGCAGCGGGGGCAUUCACCUGCAGCCUGUUUUAACAGCUAUCGGAUAACGCCCCUCUUGAUCCGUUCUUCAAGACCUACAGUUGAAGGCUAAUCAAAGAAUGCAAAAUUUGACAUUGGUUCCUUGGGACAUGCUUGUGCUCUGCUGCU
rnacentral:misc_RNA from 1 species